rnacentral:rRNA from 1 species
AUGCCUUCAGUCUUGCGUAUGCUCUGUAUUUUGCUCAGCCUUCUCUGUUUCAACACCUCAAUACUAGCUGCAGCACAAGCAAACAUGUCUGAGAUCGAUCGCCAUGCCCUCCUUUGCUUCAAGUCAGGCAUCAACUCUGAUCCCCUUGGCAUCCUACACUCAUGGGGCAAUGGCUCGCUUGACUUUUGCAGCUGGAAAGGGGUCGCCUGCGGCACCAAGUUUCCACCCCGGGUGGUCUCUCUUAACCUCACCGCUGCUCGUCUCGGUGGGCAGUUAUCUGGAUGCGUGGGCAACCUGACAUUUCUUUCUCGGAUGAACCUUGCUGAUAAUCAUCUGUCAGGAACCAUCCCCGAAGAGUUGGGUAAGCUUCCAAACCUUCAUACACUGAUUCUUGCAGGCAGCAAUCUGGAAGGUAACAUCCCUGAUUCACUAGGCGCUAGCAGUUUUCUUAGCUAUGUCGACCUUGCAAACAACACACUUACUGGCAAAAUCCCUCUCUCAUUAGCCAGUAGCUCCUCACUCAGCAAACUUAUACUGUCACGUAAUAGCCUCUCAGGAGAGAUCCCUUCUACUUUGUUUGGUAAUUCAUCCAAGCUUACCGUCGUUGAUCUCCAGAUGAAUUUUUUCACUGGUCCCAUCCCACAUUUCCAUAAGGUCACAACACUCAAAUUUCUUCGUCUGACAGACAACUUCCUCUCUGGGAGCAUACCUCCUUCAAUAGGAAAUGUUUCUUCCCUCACUUCUAUAUUGCUCGGCCGAAAUAGGUUAUCGGGAUUAAUUCCAGAGACUUUGAGUCACAUUACAAAACUGCUUGAGCUUGAUCUAAGUUUCAACAGCUUAUCAGGGAGCGUCCCGUUGUCUUUUUACAACAUGACAUCACUUGAAUUCUUUAAUGUGUGCAGCAAUGCCCUUGUUGGACAGAUGCCAUCUCACAUUGGUUUCUCACUACCAAACCUCCAGUUCCUUAUCAUGGGAAGCAACAGGUUGGAGGGCCUGAUCCCUGCUUCACUAUCCAACAUGUUAAAUCUCCAAACACUUGAUCUUUCAAACAACUCGUUACAUGGCUCUGUGCCAUCUCUUGGUUCUUUGGCAAACUUGGGUCGGUUGGAUUUAGGAAUGAACUUUCUAGAAGCACAUAACUGGUCAUUUCUUACAUCUCUAGCAAAUUGCACCCAGCUGACAAAGUUGUCCUUGGAAGGGAAUGUUCUAAAUGGCAGCCUACCUAUAUCAAUUAUUAAUCUUUCCAGGAGACUAGAACAUUUAUCGCUUGGGUCAAACCAAAUUUCGGGCUCCAUACCUGUUGAGAUUAGCAAUCUUGUUAAUCUCACUUUGCUUGGGAUGGAAAGCAAUUUUCUUUCUGGAAGCAUACCUUCUACCAUUGGCAAGCUACGAAACCUAUAUGUCCUAAAUCUGUCAAAGAACAAAUUAUCAGGUCAGAUCCCCCCCUCAAUUGGUGACAUUACUCAACUGGGCAAGCUUUAUCUUGAUGAUAACAACUUGAGUGGAAACAUACCUGGUAGUUUAGGUCAGUGCCCGGGGCUUCUUGAACUAAACUUGUCUCGAAAUAGUCUUGAUGGCUCAGUACCAUCCGAAUUGUUUGCUAGUCCUCCACUCUCCUUGGGUCUGGACUUCUCACACAACAGUCUCACAGGGGAACUACCAUUGGUAGUUGGUACACAUAGCAGUGGUGGUCCAGUAUCCCUUCACAUGGAAGGAAACAAGUUUCAUGGACAGAUUCCAGAAAGAUGGCAUCUACUAGUAUCAACCCAACAUAUUAAUCUUUCUCAUAAUGACUUAUCUGGUGCCGUGCCUGAAUUCUUUGAGCGAUUUGAUAUGCUGAAGCAACUUGAUCUGUCUUACAAUAACUUGGAAGGGUCUGUUCCUACUAGUGGGAUCUUUAAGAAAUAUGCUGCAGUAGUUCUGGGUGGCAACAAGGGACUCUGUUUAAAUUCCUCCAAGUUGAUAAAAAUAAGAAAUUCCUUUAGGCCAGCAUUACCAGUUUGUCCUCGCAUCUCAGCUUCAGUGACUAAAUCAAAACACCAUCUGUCAUUGCUGACGACCUCGCUGCUAAUUGUACUACCAACACUUAGUAUUGGUUCCAUGGUGUUGUUAUGGUUUCUGCUCACUCUUUGGAAGAAAGGGUUGUUUUCGUUUUCACGAUGGGAUCUUGUGUCCAAGGUGUUUCCUAAUAGAAGAGAAGUGCAUACAGCCCCGUGCCAUGAUGAUAAGAAGCUGAAGAGAGUGUCAUACCAGGACAUUCUUAAAGCUACCAACUGGUUUUCUUCGGUCCAUACUAUCAGCACAACCUGUACUGGUUCAGUUUAUGUUGGUAGGUUCAAGUCCGACAGGAGCCUAGUUGCCAUCAAAGUAUUCAACUUGAGUGAACCUGGUGGAUAUGAUAGUUACCUCAUUGAGUGUGAAGUGCUACGAAGCACCCGCCAUAGAAAUAUAAUGCGACCUGUGACCCUAUGCUCAACAUUGGAUUCACAAAACCAUGAGUUCAAAGCACUAAUCUUCGAGUUCAUGGUUAAUGGCAGCCUAGAGAAAUGGUUGCAUUCUGACCAACACAAUGGAAUCACAGAUAAAGGGCUAAGCUUUGGCCAGAGGAUAUGCAUAGCAGCAGAUGUGGCUUCUGCUCUUGAUUAUGCCCACAACGAACUGACACCUCCUCUGAUCCAUUGUGAUUUGAAGCCAAACAAUGUCCUUUUGGAUGAUGACAUGACUGCGCGGCUCAGUGACUUUGGCUCAGCGAAGUUUCUAUCACCAGGUCUGCUAAUUCCUAAAAGCCUGGAUGAUGUUGGAGGGACAAUUGGAUACCUGGCACCUGAGUAUGGAAUGGGUUGCGAGAUCUCUGUAGACGGCGAUGUGUAUAGUUUUGGAGUGCUUCUACUGGAAUUGCUUACUGGAAAACGACCUACUGAUGAUAUGUUUGUCGAUGGACUUAGCCUUUGUAAGUUCUGUGAAUCUAUGUUACCCGACAGAGUUGCAGAGAUUCUUGAUCCUCAUAUGGCGCAUGAGGAGCAUCAAGGGUGCGCAGAAGGAUGGAUUCAGAGAUAUAUUGUCCCCUUGGUUGCCCUUGGGCUGUCAUGUACCGUGGAAUCUCCAAAGGAUAGGCCCGGAAUGAAAGACGUUUGUGCAAAACUUUCUGACAUUAGAGCCUCUUUUCUUUAA